GUAGGGAAUAUUGGGCAAUGGAGGCAACUCUGACCCAGCCAUGCCGCGUGCAGGAAGACGGUCCUCUGGAUUGUAAACUGCUUUUGAAUGGGAAGAACACUACCCUUGCGAGGGUAUUUGACGGUACUAUUAGAAUAAGCACCGGCUAACUCCGUGCCAGCAGCCGCGGUAAUACGGAGGGUGCAAGCGUUAUCCGGAUUUAUUGGGUUUAAAGGGUGCGUAGGCGGCUUUAUAAGUCUGGGGUUAAAGGCGGCAGCUUAACUGUACGCAUGCCUUGGAAACUGUGAGGCUUGAGUGACUUGGAGGUAGCUGGAAUUCCCUGUGUAGCGGUGAAAUGCUUAGAUAUGAUGUAGAACACCGAUUGCGAAGGCAGCUCACUAAGCAAAUAUUGACGCUGAGGCACGAAAGCGUGGGGAUCAAACAGGAUUAGAUACCCUAGUAGUCC
rnacentral:rRNA from 1 species